CGGGGUGUGGCGUAGUCCGGUAGCGCGUCCGGCUGGGGGCCGGGAGGUCGGAGGUUCAAAUCCUCUCACCCCGA
rnacentral:tRNA from 1 species